rnacentral:rRNA from 1 species
AUACGGAGGGUGCAAGCGUUAAUCGGAAUUACUGGGCGUAAAGCGUACGUAGGCGGUCCGUUAAGUUAGAUGUGAAAGCCCCGGGCUUAACCUGGGAACUGCAUUUAAAACUGGCGGACUAGAGUUGAGUAGAGGGGAGUGGAAUUUCAGGUGUAGCGGUGAAAUGCGUAGAGAUCUGAAGGAACACCAGUGGCGAAGGCGACUCCCUGGACUCGAACUGACGCUGAGGUACGAAAGCGUGGGUAGCAAACGGCAUUAGAAACCCUGGUAGUCC